UACGUAGGGCGCAAGCGUUAUCCGGAAUUAUUGGGCGUAAAGAGCUCGUAGGCGGUUUGUCGCGUCUGCCGUGAAAGUCCGGGGCUCAACUCCGGAUCUGCGGUGGGUACGGGCAGACUAGAGUGAUGUAGGGGAGACUGGAAUUCCUGGUGUAGCGGUGAAAUGCGCAGAUAUCAGGAGGAACACCGAUGGCGAAGGCAGGUCUCUGGGCUGUAACUGACGCUGAGGAGCGAACGCAUGGGGAGCGAACAGG
rnacentral:rRNA from 1 species